AGUGGUUUGGGAGACAAGGCCUGUAGCCAUUGUGUGAUGACAGGAUGUGUGGCCUGUAGAUCUGAAGAUUCUCUCCACAGCCAUGUAAUGCACAGUGACAGUAAUGUUGCUACCAUUUACCUGUUUCUGUUCCAAGAGCCAUAAGAUGUCAAAUUUGCUCUGUAUUGUUGAGUGCAGUUAAAGUUGAUCAAGAUGCUAGAAAGGUAGGAGAUACCACUAUUUAACUCAACAAUCAAUCAGUUGUGGUCAAGUUAUUAACUUUAUCAUUUUAUAUCAAACAUAAUUAAUCAGUAUUUGGUAAUAAUUAUCAUUUCAUUUAGUAAAAUUGUUAAAUUGUAUUCCUUCCCAAGUUGUUUGUUUGCUCCACAAUUUCAACGUCACCUUGUGACAGUAUUUAGCACAUAUAAAUGUUCACAUAUUCAGCAGGAAAGCAUCAUUAUUGUAAACAUCCUGAGGUCCCUAUUUUAUGAUUGACUGAGAUGCAUCCGAUUAGUAGCUUCAUGUAUCAUGCAUCUUGCAACUGACCAGAGCCUCAUGCAUCUUGCAACUGACCAGUAGCCUCAUGUAUCAUGCAUCUUGCAACUGCACCAGUAGCCUCAUGUAUCAUGUAUCAUGCAACUGACCAGUAGCCUCAUGUAUCAUGCAUCUUGCAACUGACCAGUAGCCCUCAUGUAUCAUGAUGCAACCGACCAUGCAGAUGCAAAUAUGGUUGAGUAACAUAGACCUGAGAAUUGACUGUUCUAUUAUUUUUGAGGGGUAUUCUAGCUUAAGUACCGUCACUAGUUUUGUUGAGGUCACAGCUGUUCCAACCUAUAAUAAAAAUCUAGAAAAGUCAAGCGCCCUCAGUGUAAGAACUGCAAAGAACACUUAGUGUUAUGCGAAACCAACAAUCACAAAUGUCAAAGCAUAAAAGAACAGGCAUUCAAGAAAAUAAUACAUGCUGUGCAAGAAAUAGAGAGCACUUCAUCAGAAAAUGAAGUAUGCCCAAAAGAACUAAAAAAUAUGGCACAUAGCCUUGUUCGAAAAGACCUACUGAAUGGUAAGAUGGCACUCACAACGCAAGGACGUGUAAGUUCAGUUUAUUUUAUUUAUUAAUUUAUCAAGUAACCGUAAAUUACAUAGUACAUUUAAAAUGGAAAUUUAAUUUGAAUUACAAAGAUCACUAAUAUUUUUUAUAUAAAAUUCAGCCACUGAAAA
rnacentral:lncRNA from 1 species